GGUCUCGUGGUCUAGUUGGUCAUGUGAGUAUACAUUUCCAUGGCGGUAUACCUAGAAAGAAGAAUAAAACUAAUAUUUCAUUCAGGGCAUCUGUCUAACAUCCUCCGUUGGACACAGAAGGUCCCCAGUUCGAGCCUGGGCGAGAUCA